CAAUAGCGUAUAUUAAAGCUGUUGCGGUUAAAAAGCUCGUAGUUGGAUUUCUGUCAAGGACAACUGGUCCGCCCUCCGGGUGAGCACAUAGUUUGGUCUUGGCAUCUUGCUGGAAACUGUUGCUGCGCUUGGUUGUGUGGUGCAGCUUUCAGCACUUUCACUUUGAGGAAAUUGGAGUGUUUCAAGCAGGCACAUGCCUUUGGACACAGUAACAUGGAAUAAUUAGAUUGGGCUUUUGCUCCAACUUGUUGGUUCCUGGAGCUGAGGUGAGAAUCAAUGGGGAUUGUUGGGGGCAUCCGAAUUUAGCCGUCAGAGGUGAAAUUCUUGGAUCUGCUAAAGACGGACAACUGCGAAAGCGUUUGCCCAGGAUGUUUUCAUUGA
rnacentral:rRNA from 1 species